GCUUGUCUCAAAGAUUAAGCCAUGCAUGUCUAAGUACAAGCCUCAGUAAGGUGAAACCGCGAAUGGCUCAUUAAAACAGUUAUAGUUUAUUUGAUGGUCGUUCCUUACAUGGAUAACUGUGGUAAUUCUAGAGCUAAUACAUGCACCCAUGCCCGACUUUGUGGAAGGGUUGUGUUUAUUAGUUACAGAACCAACCCAGGCUCUGCCUGGUCUUGUGGUGAUUCAUAAUAACCGAACGAAUCGUAUGGCAUCAGCUGGCGAUGAAUCAUUCAAGUUUCUGACCUAUCAGCUUCCGACGGUAGGGUAUUGGCCUACCGUGGCAAUGACGGGUAACGGAGAAUUAGGGUUCGAUUCCGGAGAGGGAGCCUUAAAAACGGCUACCACAUCCAAGGAAAGGCAGCAGG
rnacentral:rRNA from 1 species